UGAGGAAUAUUGGUCAAUGGGCGAGAGCCUGAACCAGCCAAGUCGCGUGAAGGAAGACAGUCCUAAGGAUUGUAAACUUCUUUUAUACGGGAAUAACGGGCGAUACGAGUAUUGCAUUGAAUGUAUCGUAAGAAUAAGCAUCGGCUAACUCCGUGCCAGCAGCCGCGGUAAUACGGAGGUUGCGAGCGUUAUCCGGAUUUAUGGGGUUUAAAGGGUGCGUAGGUUGUUCGGUAAGUCAGCGGUGAAACCUGAGCGCUCAACGUUCAGCCUGCCGUUGAAACUGCGGGGCUUGAGUUCAGGGGCGGCAGGCGGAAUUCGUGGUGUAGCGGUGAAAUGCAUAGAUAUCACGAGGAACUCCGAUUGCGAAGGCAGCUUGCCAUACUGCGACUGACACUGAAGCGCGAAGGCGUGGGUAGCAAACAGG
rnacentral:rRNA from 1 species